GACGAACGCUGGCGGCGUGCUUAACACAUGCAAGUCGAACGAGUGGCGGACGGGUGAGUAAUGCUUGGGAAUCUAGCUUAUGGAGGGGGAUAACUACGGGAAACUGUAGCUAAUACCGCGUACAAUAGGAUGAGCCCAAGUGGGAUUAGGGAGUUGGUGAGGUAAAGGCUCACCAAGACGACUAUCUCUAGCUGGUCUGAGAGGAUGAACAUCCAAACGGGGACUGAGACACGGCCCAGACGCCUACGAGAGGCAGCAGUGGGGAAUAUUGCGCAAUGGGGGCAACCUGACGCAGCCAUGACGCGUGAAUGAAGAAGGCCUUCGGGUUGUAAAGUUCUUUCGGUAGCGAUGCGUUAACGACAGAAGAAGCACCGGCUAACUCCGUGCCAGCAGCCGCGGUAAUUC
rnacentral:rRNA from 1 species